GAUGAACGCUGGCGGCGUGCCUAAUACAUGCAAGUCGAGCGAAAAGACGAGGAGCUUGCUCCUCUGACGUUAGCGGCGGACGGGUGAGUAACACGUGGAUAACCUACCUAUAAGACUGGGAUCACUUCGGGAAACCGGAGCUAAUACCAGAUAAUAUAUUUAACCGCAUGGUUCAAUAGUGAAAGACGGUUUUGCUGUCACUUAUAGAUGGAUCCGCGCCGCAUUAGCUAGUUGGUAAGGUAACGGCUUACCAAGGCGACGAUGCGUAGCCGACCUGGGAGGGGGAUCGGCGACACUGGAACUGAGACACGGUCCAGACUCCUACGGGAGGCAGAAGUAGGGAAGCUUCCGCAAUGGGCGAAAGCCUGACGGAGCAACGCCGCGUGAGUGAUGAAGGUCUUCGGAUCGUAAAACUCUGUUAUUAGGGAAGAACAAAUGUGUAAGUAACUAUGCACGUCUUGACGGUACCUAAUCAGAAAGCCACGGCUAACUACGUG
rnacentral:rRNA from 1 species